UUUUUUGUUAAACGUUUGCGGCGGGGAUAGCCAUUGGAGAGCAAAAGAAGAAGGGGAAGUAGAGAAAAUGAUGAAGAAGGAGUUCAAAACAUCGUCGCCUGGUACCGAGAUGGAAAGUUGGGUUUCUUUGAUAGGGUCAGGUGAAGAGGAAAGAGAGAAAGGGAGAGGGGAAAGGGUAAUAGGAGAAAGGACUUGGUGAAUAGAAAGGGAACGGGUAAGGCCAUGGGAAGAUUAGGGAUUUCAUGGGGGG
rnacentral:lncRNA from 1 species